AAACAUUUUUACUCAUAUAAGUCUACCUAAGCCUAAAUAGAGUUUUAUAUUAGGUAUAGAAGUUCAACAAAAUUACAGACUGUCAUCCAACAAAAAAAAUUAGAUUUUCUCUCUUAUAUUUAUAAGAAUGCAACUAUUAUAAAAAGUCAACAACCACUCUCAUCUUAUAAAAGUCUCCGGCCAACCUCCGGCGAGGUUUCCGGCCGAUCUUUGGCGAGGUUUCAGGCCGACCUCCGACUAGGUUUCCGACCGACCUCCGACGAGGUUUCCGGCCGAUAUCCGACGAGGUUUCUGACCAACCUCCGACAAGGUUUCCGACAAUCACAAAAGCUACUACUACCAGCUACAAAAACUACUACCAUCAGCCACAAAAGCUACUACUACCAGCGACAAAAGCUACUAGUCUAUUACUACCAGCUAUAAAAGCUACUACCACCGACCACAAAAGCUACUACUACCAGCCACAAAAGCUACUACCAUCGACCAUAAAAGCUACUACGACCGGCCACAAAAGCUACUACCACAGGUCACAAAAGCUACUACGACCGGUCACAAAAGCUAGGCCACAAAAGCUACUAUUACCUGCUACAAAAGCACAAAAACUGCUACCACCAGCUACAAAAGCUACUACCACCGGCUACAAAAGCUACUACAGUGAUAAUUCUGAUGACCUCCGAUGAGGUCACAAAAUAUUUUGUCGCCGACAAGAAAAGCUACUACCACUGUCAAUAAAAGGUACUAUCGUCAUGAACAAAAGCUACUACUGUUAGAAAGAAAAUCUACUACCUUCAACAACAAAAGCUACUACCUUCAACAAUAAAAGCUACUACAUCCAGCAACAAAAGCUAUUAACUCUAGCAACAAAAGCUACUUCAAAAACAAAACUACUACCGUCAGCAACAAAAUGUACCACCGGUAGCAACAAAAGCUACAACCAUGCAUAAAAAAAGCUACUACGUACCAAGUAAUACAAAUUUAAUCAAUGUGUCAAAAAUAUACUAUUAUAGUGUGAGAAAUAUACCAUCAUAAUGACGAAAAUAUACUAUCACUGUUGAAAAUAUACUAUCAUACAAUGAAACUGAGACAUAAUUAUAAAUCUUGAUCCCAUUCAUUUCCUACACAAUCAGAACACAAUUUUGUGAUGUCUCGUCCACUCGAUUUCUAUCGAAUAUGAAACUUGGAACUCCUCCA
rnacentral:lncRNA from 1 species